rnacentral:snoRNA from 1 species
GCACUCAGAUCUUUCCCAGUCCCGCUGCUUGGUGCCAGUCUGGGGACAGGCAGUGCUACAGUACAGCAGAGGAUAUCCAGACAGGUCAUUUUCCGUUUAUCCUGGGGCCUGUCUCUACAGCUCUGCCACACUU